rnacentral:rRNA from 1 species
AGAUGUGGCGGCUACCAUGCGCGUCGAGCGGAACGAGUUGUCUGAACCUUCGGGGAACGAUAACGGCGUCGAGCGGCGGACGGGUGAGUAAUGCCUGGGAAAUUGCCCUGAUGUGGGGGAUAACCAUUGGAAACGAUGGCUAAUACCGCAUAAUAGCUUCGGCUCAAAGAGGGGGACCUUCGGGCCUCUCGCGUCAGGAUAUGCCCAGGUGGGAUUAGCUAGUUGGUGAGGUAAUGGCUCACCAAGGCGACGAUCCCUAGCUGGUCUGAGAGGAUGAUCAGCCACACUGGAACUGAGACACGGUCCAGACUACUACGGGAGGCAGCAGUGGGGAAUAUUGCACAAUGGGCGCAAGCCUGAUGCAGCCAUGCCGCGUGUAUGAAGAAGGCCUUCGGGUUGUAAAGUACUUUCAGCAGUGAGGAAGGUGGAUGUGUUAAUAGCACUUUCAUUUGACGUUAGCUGCAGAAGAAGCACCGGCUAACUCCGUGCCAGCAGCCGCGGUAAUACGGAGGGUGCGAGCGUUAAUCGGAAUUACUGGGCGUAAAGCGCAUGCAGGUGGUUUGUUAAGUCAGAUGUGAAAGCCCGGGGCUCAACCUCGGAAUUGCAUUUGAAACUGGCAGACUAGAGUACUGUAGAGGGGGGUAGAAUUUCAGGUGUAGCGGUGAAAUGCGUAGAGAUCUGAAGGAAUACCGGUGGCGAAGGCGGCCCCCUGGACAGAUACUGACACUCAGAUGCGAAAGCGUGGGGAGCAAACAGGAUUAGAUACCCUGGUAGUCCACGCCGUAAACGAUGUCUACUUGGAGGUUGUGGCCUUGAGCCGUGGCUUUCGGAGCUAACGCGUUAAGUAGACCGCCUGGGGAGUACGGUCGCAAGAUUAAAACUCAAAUGAAUUGACGGGGGGCCCGCACAAGCGGUGGAAG